rnacentral:rRNA from 1 species
UACGGGGGGGGCAAGCGUUGUUCGGAAUUCCUGGGCGUCAAGGGCUCGUAGGCGGCCAACUAAGUCAGACGUGAAAUCCCUCGGCUUAACCGGGGAACUGCGUCUGAUACUGGAUGGCUUGAGUUCGGGAGAGGGAUGCGGAAUUCCAGGUGUAGCGGUGAAAUGCGUAGAUAUCUGGAGGAACACCGGUGGCGAAGGCGGCAUCCUGGACCGACACUGACGCUGAGGAGCGAAAGCGUGGGGAGCAAACGGG